rnacentral:rRNA from 1 species
AUGUCAAUGAUGAGUGAACUCAAAUUCUUUCUUGGGUUGCAAAUCAAGCAAACUAAGGAAGGGACUUUUGUCUCUCAAAUGAAGUACACUAAGGACUUAUUCAAGAAGUUCAAUAUGCAAGAAUGCAAAGGUAUGUCUACACCCAUGCCUACUAGUGGACAUCUUGAUUUGACCAAAGAUGGUGAACCGGUUGAUCAAAAAGUUUAUCGCUCUAUGAUUGGUUCAUUGUUAUAUCUAUGUGCUUCACGUCCCGAUAUUAUGAUAAGUGUGUGCAUGUGUGCAAGAUAUCAAGCUGCUCCUAAAGAAUGUCAUCUUAAGGCCGUGAAAAGGAUAGUGAGAUACUUAAUUCAUACACCAAAUUUUGGCAUUUGGUAUCCUAAGAGGGCCGCUUUCGAUCUUGUUGGCUUCUCCGACUCGGACUAUGCUGGAGACAAGGUUGAUAGAAAGUCCACUUCGGGUAGUUGUCAAUUUCUUGGUAGAUCUCUUGUGUCUUGGUCUUCCAAGAAACAAAACUCGGUAUCCUUAUCCACCGCCAAAGCGGAAUACAUUGCCGCUGGUUCAUGCUGUGCUCAAUUACUUUGGAUGACCCAAACUCUUAAAGAUUAUGGGAUAUAUGUGAAACAUGUUCCAUUGCUUUGUGACAAUGAAAGUGCUAUCAAAAUUGGUCAUAAUCCCGUGCAACAUUCUCGAACUAAGCAUAUUGAAGUUCGUCAUCAUUUCAUUCGAGAUCAUGUUGCUAAGGGUGACAUUAAUCUUAAUCAUGUUCGCACCGAAAAGCAAUUAGCAGAUAUUUUCACUAAACCUCUUGAUGAGAAAGUGUUUUGCAGGUUGAGAGGAUAA